rfam:Parcubacteria bacterium GW2011_GWA2_47_8 TY09_C0040, whole genome shotgun sequence.
UGCCGGGUAGACUAAUGGUAAGUCGGCGGUCUUUGAAGCCGCGCCAAUCUAGGUUCGAACCCUAGCCCGGCAA